AAAGGUGAGGACUCACAGUUGAGGUUCUGAGGAAUAAACUCCCUCAUGAACAUCAUCUCCUCUGUGGUUGGACUGUCUUUGAUCUUGGGGCUGCAGCAGAGGAGGUUGAGAGCAGCCAGACGAACUUUGUAGUCUGCAGAUCCCAGAGCCAGAUGGAGGGUUCAGCGGGUGGAGCCAGAAGAUGAGUGACGGCAGAUGGGAAGUACAAGGUAAUAAGUGUGUCGCACUGUUGUUCUGUAAAAGAGUCACAUCAGACGUCAGGGCCUCGUGUAGGACCGGCCUCCAACGUUUUGCCCACACAUGGGUUAUGUCCAGUUCAGUGUGCUUAUUGGAUUUUUGUGAGUUUUCAGGUUCUCUCCUCUGCUGCUGGAUCAAACUCUUGUAAAGCUCUGAUCCACAUGGUGAGAGGUGAUUGGUUGACAAGCACUCCAGGAGAUGACUGGGUCCACCUCUUGCUACCUGCUUGCCUGCUCUCCACCAGCCAUAUCCGGACAGCCUACACUCUGUAACUCCUCUAUCUCAUUAUUGGACCCUCUUCUUCCCCUUUGUCCCCACAGCAAAAUAAAUCCUUAUUUCUCACUUAA